rnacentral:tRNA from 1 species
AUCUAUAUAGUAUAUUAUUAUAUUUGACUUCCAAUCAGAAGAACUAGAAAACUAGUAUAGAUA